AGAAUUGUAGUGGAAUUUUCUUUCUUCUUGUUUUUCUCAUUCAAACUACUAUAGUUUUCAAGACUCUGCCUUUUUCCCCCUUCUCUGCUUAGCCUUUUCCACCUAUUUUUUGCUAUUCAGAUCUCAAGUUUUACACUUUGCUUUCCCUCUGUAAAUUUCUUGUUUUGUGGCAAAAUUCAGAAAGUAGCAAAGUUUUCUUGAAAUGGCCGGCCGUUAUGAUCAUAACCCUU
rnacentral:misc_RNA from 1 species